rnacentral:rRNA from 1 species
AUGGAUCUCUCCGCCACCCCCACCAAAUCCAAAUCCAAAUCCAAGCCCGGACCCUCCCCGUCCAAGGCCGCCGCCGCCGCCGCCGCCCAGAUGGACUUCUCCACCCCGUCCAAGCCGGCGCCCACGCCCACGCCCCGGCGGAAGUCCAAGCCCGUGCCCUACGCGCCGCCCGCGUCUCCGGCGACGCCCUCCGCCGUCCGCAGGUCGCGCCGCCUCCUCGACACCCCCACCAAGGACCUCUCCGAGGCCGCCCUCUUCGAGACGCCCGCCAAGCCCGCGCCCGCGCCCACCCUCAAGCGGAAGCGGGCCGCGCCGUCGCCGUCGCCCAAGACCCCGGCCCGGGCCGAGCCCAAGCCCAAGCGGCAGCGGCGGGCGCCGGCAAAGCGGGCCUUCUACCGCAAGGUGGUGUACGACGGCGGGGAGUUCGCUGCCGGGGACGACGUGUACGUCAAGCGGCUGGAGGGCGCCGAGUCGGACGCCGAGGACCCCGAGGAGCCGGAGGACUGCCGCGUCUGCUUCCGCGCCGGCGGCGGGGUCAUGGUGGAGUGCGACGCCUGCCUCGGUGGCUUCCACCUGCGCUGCGUGCGCCCGCCGCUGCGCCGCGUGCCGGAGGGGGACUGGGCGUGCCCCUACUGCGAGGCAGAGCGUGCAGGGAAGGUGAUCGACAGGCCCAAGCCGCCUGUCGGGAAGAAGAUCAAGAGGACUGCCAAGGAGAAGCUUCUCGACAGCGAUUUAUGGGCUGCACGCAUUGAGAGUUUAAGGAGGGAGCCAGAUGGAGCAUUCUGGGCAAAGGUGAGGUGGUACACUAUCCCUGAAGAGACCGCAGCAGGAAGGCAGCCACAUAAUUUGCGGAGAGAGCUCUAUCGUACUAAUGCUCUUGGAGACAUUGAGAUGGAAAGUAUCGUUAGACGUUGUUUUGUCAUGAGCCCCAAAGAGUAUAGGGAUGCCACUAAUGACGGAGAUGAUGUAUUUUAUUGUGAAUACGAGUAUGAUGUACAUUGGCAUAAUUUUAAGCGUCUGGCAGAUAUUGAUGAUGAACCUGAGACAAAAGAAGAUCCCAGUGACGAGCCUUACAAUGCUGCUAAUGAUUAUAACAGUGAUACUGAUGAAGAUUCAGAAUACGAUGAGGAGGAUGAACCGGCUGCACGUUGCUCAGCCAGAAAGAACCAAUCUAAUGAGAAAAUUUUGGCUGCUAAUUCAUGGAAAGGGAGGAUAUAUGGCCUGCAAAAGAUUGGGAUCCGAAAAAUACCUGAGCAUGUUCGGUGUCAUCAAAAGACUGCUCUGGAGAAGGCGAAGGCGACCCUGUUAUUGGCUACUCUUCCCAAGUCAUUGCCUUGCAGGGAUAAAGAAAUGGAGGAGAUCUCUACAUUUGUGAAGGAUGCAAUUUGCAAUGACCAUUGUCUAGGACGCUGCCUUUACAUUCAUGGUGUGCCUGGUACUGGCAAGACUAUGAGUGUACUUGCAGUCAUGAGGAAGUUGAGAUCUGAAUUUGAUUCUGGAGCUCUGAGGCCCUAUUGUUUUAUAGAAAUCAAUGGUCUCAAAUUAGCUUCUCCAGAGAACAUCUACAAGCUUGAUCUCCUUUUGACAAGAAAUCAGUCGGUGCUGUAUAACAUUCUUGAUUGGCCCACCAAGCCAAAUUCAAACCUAGUUAUUAUAGGUAUAGCAAAUACAAUGGAUCUUCCAGAAAAACUGUUGCCUCGUAUCUCAAGUAGGAUGGGUAUUCAACGGCUGUGUUUUGGCCCCUAUAAUUAUCGGCAACUGCAGGAAAUCAUAACAAGCCGUCUUAAGGGUAUCAAUGCCUUUGAAGAUCAAGCUAUUGAGUUUGCUUCUAGAAAGGUAGCUGCUAUGUCCGGUGAUGCUAGGCGGGCCUUAGAAAUUUGUAGACGCGCAGCAGAGUUUGCAGACUACCGUGUUAAACAAUUUCAACAGGUUGAACAGACUCCCUCUUCUGCAAAUACAGGAAAUGGUUUUGUUUGCAUGGGUGACAUAGAAGACGCUAUUCAAGAAGUCUUUCAGGCACCACAUAUUCAAGUAAUGAAGAAUUGCCCAAAAUUUGGAAAAGUUAUACUGGCUGCUAUGGUCCACGAAUUAUACAGAAGUGGCCUAGGUGAAGUAUUGUUUGAUAAGCUGGCAGCGACUGUUUUCUCUUGGUGCCACGUCAACAGAGAACUAUUGCCCGGAUACGACACUCUCCUGAAAAUCUGUUGCAAGCUUGGUGAGAGCAAGAUCGUUCUCUGCGAGGAAGGCACCAAACAUAAGUUGCAGAAGCUGCAGCUCAACUACCCAAGCGACGAUGUGACCUUUGCACUCAAGGAGUCCCCAGAUCUUCCUUGGCUGUCCAAGUACCUCUAG